rnacentral:rRNA from 1 species
AUGAACGCUGGCGGCGUGCCUAAUACAUGCAAGUCGAGCGAACAGACGAGGAGCUUGCUCCUCUGACGUUAGCGGCGGACGGGUGAGUAACACGUGGAUAACCUACCUAUAAGACUGGGAUAACUUCGGGAAACCGGAGCUAAUACCGGAUAAUAUAUUGAACCGCAUGGUUCAAUAGUGAAAGACGGUUUUGCUGUCACUUAUAGAUGGAUCCGCGCCGCAUUAGCUAGUUGGUAAGGUAACGGCUUACCAAGGCAACGAUGCGUAGCCGACCUGAGAGGGUGAUCGGCCACACUGGAACUGAGACACGGUGCAGACUCCUACGGGAGGCAGCAGUAGGGAAUCUUCCGCAAUGGGCGAAAGCCUGACGGAGCAACGCCGCGUGAGUGAUGAAGGUCUUCGGAUCGUAAAACUCUGUUAUUAGGGAAGAACAAAUGUGUAAGUAACUAUGCACGUCUUGACGGUACCUAAUCAGAAAGCCACGGCUAACUACGUG